UACGGAGGGGGCUAGCGUUGUUCGGAAUUACUGGGCGUAAAGCGCACGUAGGCGGCUUUGUAGGUUAGAGGUGAAAGCCCAGGGCUUAACCCUGGAACUGCCUUUAAGACUGCAGAGCUUGAAUCGCGGAGAGGUGAGUGGAAUUCCGAGUGUAGAGGUGAAAUUCGUAGAUAUUCGGAAGAACACCAGUGGCGAAGGCGGCUCACUGGACCGGCAUUGACGCUGAGGUGCGAAAGCGUGGGGAGCAAACAGG
rnacentral:rRNA from 1 species